GCUGUUCUCCCUACCAGCUAUAACACAGUCAGUUUAAGGUAGGGAACAAGGUGCUGUUCUCCCUACCAGCUAUAACACAGUCAGUUUAAGGUAGGGGACAAGGUGCUGUUCUGACCAGCUAUAACACAGUCAGUUUAAGGUAGGGAACAAGGUGCUGUUCUGACCAGCUAUAACACAGUCAGUUUAAGGUAGGGAACAAGGUGCUGUUCUGACCAGCUAUAACACAGUCAGUUUAAGGUAGGGGACAAGGUGCUGUUCUCCCUACCAGCUAUAACACAGUCAGUUUAAGGUAGGGAACAAGGUGCUGUUCUCCCUACCAGCUAUAACACAGUCAGUUUAAGGUAGGGGACAAGGUGCUGUUCUCCCUACCAGCUAUAACACAGUCAGUUUAAGGUAGGGAACAAGGUGCUGUUCUCCCUACCAGCUAUAACACAGUCGGUUUAAAGUAGGGGACAAGGUGCUGUUCUCCGUACCAGCUAUAACACAGUCAGUUUAAGGUAGCGAACAAGGUGCUGUUCUGACCAGCUAUAACACAGUC